UACGGAAGGGGCAAGCGUUGUUCGGAAUCAUUGGGCGUAAAGGGCGUGUAGGCGGUCUCAUGUGUCCGCUGUGAAAGAACACGGCUCAACCGUGUGGAGCGGCGGAAACUGUGGGACUUGAGGCUGGGAGGGGCUGGUGGAAUUCCCUGUGUAGCGGUGAAAUGCGUAGAGAUGUGGAGGAACACCGAUGGCGAAGGCAGCCCCCUGGGCUAACACUGACGCUCAGGCACGAAAGCGUGGGGAGCAAACAGG
rnacentral:rRNA from 1 species